rnacentral:rRNA from 1 species
CCUACGGGUGGCAGCAGUGAGGAAUAUUGGUCAAUGGACGCAAGUCUGAACCAGCCAUGUCGCGUGCAGGAUGACGGCCCUAUGAGUUGUAAACUGCUUUUGUACGAGGGUAAACGCAGAUACGCGUACCUGUUUGAAAGUAUCGUACGAAUAAGGAUCGGCUAACUCCGUGCCAGCAGCCGCGGUAAUACGGAGGAUUCAAGCGUUAUCCGGAUUUAUUGGGUUUAAAGGGUGCGCAGGCGGAGAGUUAAGUCAGCGGUAAAAUUUCGCGGCUCAACCCCGACGAGCCGUUGAAACUGGCUGGCUAGAGUGGGCGAGAAGUAUGCGGAAUGCGUGGUGUAGCGGUGAAAUGCAUAGAUAUCACGCAGAACUCCGAUUGCGAAGGCAGCAUACCGGCGCCCAACUGACGCUCAGGCACGAAAGCGUGGGUAUCGAACAGGAUUAGAUACCCCUGUAGUC